rnacentral:rRNA from 1 species
GAUGAACGCUGGCGGCGUGCCUAAUACAUGCAAGUCGAGCGAACGGACGAGAAGCUUGCUUCUCUGAUGUUAGCGGCGGACGGGUGAGUAACACGUGGAUAACCUACCUAUAAGACUGGGAUAACUUCGGGAAACCGGAGCUAAUACCGGAUAAUAUUUUGAACCGCAUGGUUCAAAAGUGAAAGACGGUCUUGCUGUCACUUAUAGAUGGAUCCGCGCUGCAUUAGCUAGUUGGUAAGGUAACGGCUUACCAAGGCAACGAUGCAUAGCCGACCUGAGAGGGUGAUCGGCCACACGGGAACUGAGACACGGUCCAGACUCCUACGGGAGGCAGCAGUAGGGAAUCUUCCGCAAUGGGCGAAAGCCUUACGGAGCAACGCCGCGUGAGUGAUGAAGGUCUUCGGAUCGUAAAACUCUGUUAUUAGGGAAGAACAUAUGUGUAAGUAACUGUGCACAUCUUGACGGUACCUAAUCAGAAAGCCACGGCUAACUACGUG